CCGGCACUGCUGCCCCUCGGGACAAGAGCGGGCGGGAAGGGCGGCCUCUCACCUGGAGGAGCACGGCCAGCAGGACGCACAGGAGAGGUGAGGCAUCAUGCAGCAAUCCACUCAGCUGCGUGGCUGAGCACUGACAAACUCAAUUUACUGGAGGAGAGCAUGAGAUGACAUAGUGCAGUCGCUGCUGCUGUGAUAUGGACAAAUGGCCUCUUUUGUUCCAAGCAAGACGUCACCUGUCCUGAGGAAGUGCAUCUGUGCAUAGGAAUGGUCUGACAGCCCCAGGCUGGAGUAUGUGUCUCUUCCAACUAUUCUGUCACCCAGACACACAUGAAUUCACAUCUCAGCAAAUGGGAGUUGGUCCCUAGGGAUCCCUUCCCAGGAUGCUUGUCAAGAACAGAGAGGAUGAUACUUUCAUUCUGAGGACAUUGUCAGGAAUGACCAUCCAACUCACAGAAGCCAGUAUAAAGCCAGCUACAGCUGCCCUAAGCUAUUCAAGUAGAAAUAAAAUGGCCUUGAACACUCCACAUGCUGGUGAAAA